UGGCGUCACAAAACGGCUGUGCUCUCAGUGACGUCACGGGGAUUUCACAGUGAGGAAGAUGUUCGUCUGCUGUGUUGCUGUCCAUUUGUCUGCACAUCCCAGCAUCCAGAAUUUAUAAUUAAGCAAUCAUUCAAAAUUCUUGCAAGCUUGAAGAAAAGCACUUGGAAAAAAGGCAAAAGGAGAGUCUGUGGACCUGACCUUUUGUCAGCAUUGAUUCUCCGUGAUAUCACGAAUAAAAUCUCUUUGUCUCGAAGUCUGGGCCUUUGGUGCAUGAUUUAAUCUAAUCUCUUCGACAGUGAGAUCUCAAUGUAAGGGGCAUCAAGGGAAAUCCACAGUUUCUCUCCUAACAUCAGGACACUUCUGCAAAAGAAGAAUCACUCUGAGAAUGUGAGAAAAAAAAUGCUGACCUCACAAAAAAGCUGUCAGGAAAUCUGGAAAGUGUGCUGAAGAGUUUCACUAAUAUCGCUGGGAUCCUUGGGCACAUUUCAUCUCACUAUGGAGGGAUUAUUGUAUUGAGUGAAAAAAAUGCUUUGAAGAGGUUGGUUACCUUUUCCAAUAGGCUCUCCUUCAGUUCAUUGAACGCAAUGACACCCAGCCAAAAGGGAAUCGAACAGUAGACAAAGAAUGCUGGAGAUCACAGCGGGUCAGGCAGCAUCCAUUAAGAGAAAGCAAGCUGAACAUUUCGAAUCUAUAUGAUUCUUCAUCAGAACAAGUUUUUUUUUAAAUGGGAGUGAGUAACUGAACUCUCAUUUGCCCUUUCCAGCAACCAUUACCCCAACAUGUCAGCUGGGCCAAAUUGUCUCCAAACUGUCUCCCAUAGUAACUCAAUUAAUGCAGCCUGCAACCUGCCCUCAACAAGUUUGCAUAUCCAAUAGUUAUUGUUUGAUUUGAUUUGAUUUAUUGUCAUCUCAUGUACCUAAGUACAGUGAAAAGCUUUGUUUGCGAGUAGUACAAGCAGAUCAUAGUAAACAAGGACAUACAUAUCACAGGGUGCUUGGACAGAAUAAGGCAUACAGGGUACAUGGCACAGAAGGUACGUGAAGCAAGAUCAACAUUAGCAAGAUUUACAUUAUUGCUAAUUAAAGUUAACAAGCCACAUGGAUUAAGACUUUCCACAGCAGGAGCUGCAGGCUUCUUCUAAUUGUCACCGAGAUGAUUAUGACAAAUCACCUAAAUGAUUAUCUUGUUUUGCAUUAAAGUAAUUAUCUUUAUCACAUUGA